AAACUACCACCUAAUUUUUGAUUUAGUUAAAGAAGAUUUUGCUUAAACUUUGGAUCUCAUUUUAAAAAAAUAUAUAAUUACCAAAUAUAGAAGAACCUGAUUUCAGGCUUGUAAAAUUGAAAUCAAACAGGUUUUGUUAAUUUCUUUCUCUUCGGAAGAAUAUUUUUACACUUUUGAGAACACAAAAAGCGAGAUUCAAAUCAAGAGAAAGAGAGGGAGGGAGAGAGAGAGGAUAGUUAAAUCAUCUCUCUCUCGUACAACUAAGGAAGAUGAAAAUGGCAACUAAAAGCUUAUUAAUGUGCAUUUUGGUCCUUAGCAUAGCUAUUCAGUUUUGCAGAGCGGACGAUGAUGACCUUGACAAAGGUGAAGUAUAUCAAAAAUGUUUCAAAGAUUGUGAUGAUAAAUGCAAGGGGGAAGGAUAAUGUAAACGAGACCUUCAGGGCAGUUGACGAUACAAAAAAUUUUAUUAAGAAAAGUAUCAGUGGUGCAACAACUGACGGAAUACUAAGCAGUGAUUCCCUUAUCUCCAUGUUUGGGAUCUUCAUGUUAGUUUUCUUAUGUUACUAAGGUAAAUACGAAUAUUUUUUGUGAUGGAAUAUUUUUAGAAAUGCCAGAAUUAUACCGUAAAUUUACAUAUUCUACUCAUUAAUUAAUUAGAAAAUCAUGUUUACUAUGUCACAGUUGAAUUAUAUGGUAGUGAUGAGAGUUGAUCGUCCAAUCCAUCGUCUAACAUUUAUUUAUUUUUACCAUCUUAUGUAUUCGAGGUUAUAAUUAAUUAUUAAUAUGAGGUUGUUAAAAAAUAUAUUUGAAUGCUUAUUUCCUUUAUUAUCUCUCGUUUUUUAUGCUAACAAAUUUUGUUUCCGUACGUAUUUUUCGGCGGUAUUAUUUGGUAGCAUACGUAAUUUUGAAAUGAUAACUCCCAUAAACAUUUUCGAAACUAUGGCAAAAUAUAAUCUUUUUGACAGUGUCAUCUGGCCUUGAAAUUAGUGAUGCAUAUAGCCGUUACGAAAUUGGUGAUGCAUAUGACUUUGCUAAUAAUUCAGAAAGGCAAAUGUUUGUUUGAAAAUCAUGCACCUACAAUUCCUCGUGUGCGUAAACCGCCGUGUAAUGCAAAUACUCUCCAUUUGUAUAAUGUAAAGGUAAAAUGCUAUAAUUGUGUAAAUUCUUUAGUUUUGAUCAUUUCUAUUCCAUGUCUCAUGGAAGUUUGCGUAAGAAAUUGUGUACUUUCUUUUAACCAACGAUGGAUUCUCUGUACUAGUUUAAAGGAUACCAGGAUUAGAUCGAUAAAGUAUGGGAGUUAGAAAGUGUUCUGCACGUAAGCCUAUAACGCUAUAUUUGUUAUACUUCUAAGUAGAAAGAGCAAAUUUAUUUAUGGCCUUACAAUAUUGCUAAUUUUUUUUGGAGUUAGUUACACAUAUUAAAUACAUGAACACAUUGUUAUCUUUGGUAAAUACUUGUAUUUUAGGUUUCUUUAUUCUUUGGAACCCGUUUUAUCUUUUGUAAUUUAUCUCACAUAGUUUGCACUAAAGAG